CCUACGGGGGGGGCWGCAGUAGGGAAUCUUCCGCAAUGGGCGAAAGCCUGACGGAGCAACGCCGCGUGAGUGAUGAAGGUUUUCGGAUCGUAAAGCUCUGUUGCCAGGGAAGAACGUCCGGUAGAGUAACUGCURCCGGAGUGACGGUACCUGAGAAGAAAGCCCCGGCUAACUACGUGCCAGCAGCCGCGGUAAUACGUAGGGGGCAAGCGUUGUCCGGAAUUAUUGGGCGUAAAGCGCGCGCAGGCGGCUAUUUAAGUCUGGUGUUUAAACCUUGGGCUCAACCUGAGGUCGCACUGGAAACUGGGUGGCUUGAGUACAGAAGAGGAAAGUGGAAUUCCACGUGUAGCGGUGAAAUGCGUAGAGAUGUGGAGGAACACCAGUGGCGAAGGCGACUUUCUGGGCUGUAACUGACGCUGAGGCGCGAAAGCGUGGGGAGCAAACAGGAUUAGAUACCGC
rnacentral:rRNA from 1 species